rnacentral:rRNA from 1 species
CCUGGCCUUGACAUACUAAGAACUUUCCAGAGAUGGAUUGGUGCCUUCGGGAACUUAGAUACGGGUGCUGCAUGGCUGUCGUCAGCUCGUGUCGUGAGAUGUUGGGUUAAGUCCGCAACGAGCGCAACCCUUUUCCUUAUUGCCAGCGGGUAAUGCCGGGAACUUUAAGGAUACUGCCAGUGACAAACUGGAGGAAGGCGGGGACGACGUCAAGUCAUCAUGGCCCUUACGGCCAGGGCUACACACGUGCUACAAUGGUCGGUACAAAGGGUUGCUACCUCGCGAGAGGAUGCUAAUCUCAAAAAGCCGAUCGUAGUCCGGAUCGCAGUCUGCAACUCGACUGCGUGAAGUCGGAAUCGCUAGUAAUCGCGGAUCAGAAUGCCGCGGUGAAUACGUUCCCGGGCCUUGUACACACCGCCCGUCACACCAUGGGAGUUUGUUGCACCAGAAGUAGGUAGUCUAACCGCAAGGAGGACGCUUACCACGGUGUGGCCGAUGACUGGGGUGAAGUCGUAACAAGGUAAGCGUAGAUGA